rnacentral:lncRNA from 1 species
CCUCCGCCUGCCUCUGGUCGAUCCGAUGCUCUUCUUGAGGAGUAUUCCUUCUCUCACGCCGCCGACUCUCUCGUUCAUCAACGGCCCUUGGAGAAAGGCAUUGCGCGCGGCGGGACUCGCGCACAACGACUUGCCGAGGGCAGCGGCGUCAUGGACGACCGCGUGCCACUGCCUGCACACGCGCCCCGCACCGAGACACAGGUCGAGACACGGCAGGUGGCGCAAAAUCGAGGCCACCAACUCGUCGGGGAGAUUGCCAAAGCCGGUACCGGGCGUCGAUGACUUGGUCGGUGUGACAGUCGUUGCGGCGCAACAUGGCACGAGGCCGUCGAUGAGGUACCCGUCCUGGUCGGUGGCAGCAAUACGGCUCUUGUGGCGGCGUCGACAUCGCCUCCUGCGCCCGGUGUGGUCGUUCUUGCUCCUGUUCAUUUUUUCUUUUUCUGUUGUGGCUCGCGCGUUGCUUGGUCACCUAGAGAGUGCCGACGGGACCACGCUGCCGACGCGCGCUCGCACCAAGAGAAUGAAAACAAAAAGAGGGUUUGAAAAAAAAAGAGGCCACACGCCGCUCCCUCUUAUUUGCACAACAGCCACACGGCGGCUUUCAGCAGAAAUCAUCUUUGUGCCUACAAAAAGGGGUCUCGACAAAUGGCGCACCCGUGGAUCAUGGCUCGGCGGCCGGCCGCACAUUUUUGGGCGCAGCCGAUUGGGGGCGACCCGAUCCCAGUCGCGACCGGCCGAUUUUGUUUUACAGUUUUCAAAUUGCCAAAUGGCAACAAAAGAAAGUCAUAAAAAAGUCAGAGCGACG